rnacentral:lncRNA from 1 species
CUUGACAGCAGAGUGCUUUGUAAGUGAGUCACUCAUUCAAUGAUGAUGUACUCCUAUAUCUCAUCUGUAUGCCAUACCAGUAUCUCCACACUCUUUGGCUAAGAGGACAACUAACCUAUAUGGCAUACAACGAUCUACACUCAAUGAAACAUCAUCGUCCUUUAAUGAUGUAUCAUUGGGUCACGAACAUGUUUAAGAAUUAUUCGAUAAAUUCUUCUUUAUCGAUUAUCAUAUAGUUCUAAGG